UACACUCCUACGGGAGGCAGCAGUGGGGAAUAUUGGGCAAUGGGCGCAAGCCUGACCCAGCAACGCCGCGUGAAGGAAGAAGGCUUUCGGGUUGUAAACUUCUUUUGUCGGGGACGAAACAAAUGACGGUACCCGACGAAUAAGCCACGGCUAACUACGUGCCAGCAGCCGCGGUAAUACGUAGGUGGCAAGCGUUAUCCGGAUUUACUGGGUGUAAAGGGCGUGUAGGCGGGAUUGCAAGUCAGAUGUGAAAACUGGGGGCUCAACCUCCAGCCUGCAUUUGAAACUGUAGUUCUUGAGUGCUGGAGAGGCAAUCGGAAUUCCGUGUGUAGCGGUGAAAUGCGUAGAUAUACGGAGGAACACCAGUGGCGAAGGCGGAUUGCUGGACAGUAACUGACGCUGAGGCGCGAAAGCGUGGGGAGCAAACAGGAUUAGAUACCCCUGUAGUCCCAUGA
rnacentral:rRNA from 1 species